UACGGGGGGGGCAAGCGUUGUUCGGAAUCACUGGGCGUAAAGGGAGUCUAGGCGGGUCUUUAAGUCAGGGGUGAAAUCCUGGAGCUCAACUCCAGAACUGCCUUUGAUACUGAAGAUCUUGAGUUCGGGAGAGGUGAGUGGAACUGCGAGUGUAGAGGUGAAAUUCGUAGAUAUUCGCAAGAACACCAGUGGCGAAGGCGGCUCACUGGCCCGAUACUGACGCUGAGGCACGAAAGCGUGGGGAGCAAACAGG
rnacentral:rRNA from 1 species